GCUAUGUGGUCGGUAGAAUUUUUUUUUUUUGGGGGGGUAACUAUCUGCAUCAACUCAUAGCAAAAUGCUUCAAAGACACUACGAACUCCAGUGUCGACCAGCCACCAUGAGUGUAAAUUAACCGUUUGAACGGACUCCCAUCUUAACUACGUGGAUGGACGUCAGAAGUCCUAUGAGCUGUGGCCAGUCAAGAGUGUUGUGGCCUCAGAGGGUGAAGGGACAGUUGCUUGGUCUGCAAACCUGGGUGAUCCCAUGAAAAUGUUCCAAUGAAGUUACUCCCGUGAGAGCAGUGCCGGAGAGUCAAGAGGACAGUUGAUUGGUCUGCCAACCUGGAUGUGAACCCCUGAAAAUACAGCAAGUAAUGCCAUUGGAAUCAGAUCAGGUAAUGGGGUCAAAGACGUUGUGCCAAGGACAGGACUCAAGAACUGAAAUUACCAAAUGAAUGAUCAGUGACUGACUAAAAGAAACAAGUUCAAUGCAAACAUUAAAGAAUGUCAAGUUUAAUGGUGUACUUAAAACCAGAAAGUCACAGGGCUCUAAGCCCCAAAGUUAAUCUGUGUGAAAGGCUGAAUUGUAAGGUGCUUUCUUGAGUGCGUCCAGGAAGAACUGCUCGUCCUGCAGAAAGUCACGAUCCUAAGAAGAUAAAACAAGUACAUUGAUCGACAAUAAAGAUUUUGAAACUA